rnacentral:rRNA from 1 species
AUUGAACGCUGGCGGCAGGCCUAACACAUGCAAGUCGAGCGAGCGGCGGACGGGUGAGUAAUGUCUGGGAAACUGCCUGAUGGAGGGGGAGAACUACUGGAAACGGUAGCUAAUACCGCAUACGAUCAGAUGUGCCCAGAUGGGUUUAGCUAGUAGGUGGGGUAACGGCUCACCUAGGCGACGAUCCCUAGCUGGUCUGCGAGGAUGACCAGCGACACUGGAACUGAGACACGGUCCAGACUCCUACGGGAGGCAGCAGUGGGGAAUCGUGCACAAUGGGCGAGAGCCUGAUGCAGCCAUGCCGCGUGAGUGAAGACGGCCCUCGGGUUGUAAAGCACUUUUAGCGGGGAGGCGUUACCAGCAGAAGAAGCACCGGCUAACUCCGUGCCAGCAGCCGCGGUAAUAC